rnacentral:rRNA from 1 species
UACAGAGGUCCCAAGCGUUGUUCGGAUUUACUGGGCGUAAAGAGAGCGUAGGCGGCCGUGUAUGUCGGGUGUGAAAUCUCUCGGCUUAACCGAGAAACUGCAUUCGAUACUGCCGUGCUUGAGGACUGGAGAGGAGACUGGAAUUUACGGUGUAGCGGUGAAAUGCGUAGAUAUCGUAAGGAAGACCAGUGGCGAAGGCGGGUCUCUGGACAGUUCCUGACGCUGAGGCACGAAGGUCAGGGGAGCAAACGGG